rnacentral:lncRNA from 1 species
AAAUGGAGAAACGGGAAUAAAAUUCCCGCGAGAAAGUUGGUUGCCCGUGCGAGUGUUAGGCACUGUGCGCGGACAGUGGCUGCGGGACAUUCAUAUAGCAUGCACGUCCCAUCCACGUGCACGGUGCAGGGUCAGGACCAGCACACGCGUCCUAUUGCAUGCUGGCGAGUCGUGCGUGUGUCACCCUACGCACAGACAGGCCCCACACACUAUGCGCAUGUUGUUCGUGCAAUAGGCCUGCGUGCACGGCAGGAGACCUGUGCACCAGCAAGCUAGCUUACAGUGCGCCAAUCGGAGCACUGCCAUCUCGGGCAGUGCACCGCCGCUUCUCGG